AGUCACGCCGUGAGCACAGAGCGAACUAUUCUUUCGCCUUUUACUAAAGAAUACCGUGUGCUCGCUGCUCUUAGUGGCAUACGCCUAUUUUUGGGAGGGUCCUGCCUGUUGGUAGGGU